rnacentral:rRNA from 1 species
UGUCUGGUGGGUAGUUUGACUGGGGCGGUCUCCUCCUAAAGAGUAACGGAGGAGCACGAAGGUUGGCUAAUCCUGGUCGGACAUCAGGAGGUUAGUGCAAUGGCAUAAGCCAGCUUGACUGCGAGCGUGACGGCGCGAGCAGGUGCGAAAGCAGGUCAUAGUGAUCCGGUGGUUCUGAAUGGAAGGGCCAUCGCUCAACGGAUAAAAGGUACUCCGGGGAUAACAGGCUGAUACCGCCCAAGAGUUCAUAUCGACGGCGGUGUUUGGCACCUCGAUGUCGGCUCAUCACAUCCUGGGGCUGAAGUAGGUCCCAAGGGUAUGGCUGUUCGCCAUUUAAAGUGGUACGCGAGCUGGGUUUAGAACGUCGUGAGACAGUUCGGUCCCUAUCUGCCGUGGGCGCUGGAGAACUGAGGGGGGCUGCUCCUAGUACGAGAGGACCGGAGUGGACGCAUCACUGGUGUUCGGGUUGUCAUGCCAAUGGCACUGCCCGGUAGCUAAAUGCGGAAGAGAUAAGUGCUGAAAGCAUCUAAGCACGAAACUUGCCCCGAGAUGAGUUCUCCCUGACCCUUUAAGGGUCCUGAAGGAACGUUGAAGACGACGACGUUGAUAGGCCGGGUGUGUAAGCGCAGCGAUGCGUUGAGCUAACCGGUACUAAUGAACCGUGAGGCUUAACCUUACAACGCCGAAGGUGUUU